rnacentral:rRNA from 1 species
GAAUGGCUCAUUAAAUCAGUUAUCGUUUAUUUGAUAGUACCUUACUACUUGGAUAACCGUGGUAAUUCUAGAGCUAAUACAUGCUAAAAACCCCAACUUCGGAAGGGGUGUAUUUAUUAGAUAAAAAACCAACGCCCUUCGGGGCUCCUUGGUGAUUCAUAAUAACUAAACGAAUCGCAUGGCCUUGCGCCGGCGAUGGUUCAUUCAAAUUUCUGCCCUAUC